rnacentral:misc_RNA from 1 species
GAUGAAGAACGUAGCGAAACGCGAUAGUUAAUGUGAAUUGCAGAAUUCAGUGAAUCAUCGAGUCUUUGAACGCAUAUUGCGCCCUUUGGUAUUCCGAAGGGCAUGUCUGUUUGAGCGUCAUUUUUCAAUUCCUCGCAUAAAUAUUUGCGGUUAUGAGCUAGGUACGUGCAUAUACAUGCCCAAACCAGCUUUAAAGUUGAAUGCUAUGCGGACAAACUGUCUUGCUAAACAAACAUAGUAAAAAAAAUUUCUUCUUUUUUUUUUUUCCUGUUUGAAUAGUGACAUUUGUCUUGCCUCAAAACCAAAAUUAUUAAGUUUUGACCUCAAAUCAGAUAAGGAUACCCGCUGAACUUAAGCAUAUCAAUAAGCGGAGGA